GAUGAACGCUGGCGGCGUGCCUAAUACAUGCAAGUCGAGCGAACGGACGAGAAGCUUGCUUCUCUGAUGUUAGCGGCGGACGUGUGAGUAACACGUGGAUAACCUACCUAUAAGACUGGUAUAACUUCGGGAAACCGGAGCUAAUACCGGAUAAUAUUUUGAACCGCAUGGUUCAAAAGUGAAAGACGGUCUUGCUGUCACUUAUAGAUGGAUCCGCGCUGCAUUAGCUAGUUGGUAAGGUAACGGCUUACCAAGGCAACGAUGCAUAGCCGACCUGAGAGGGUGAUCGGCCACACUGGAACUGAGACACGGUCCAGACUCCUACGGGAGGCAGCAGUAGGGAAUCUUCCGCAAUGGGCGAAAGCCUGACGGAGCAACGCCGCGUGAGUGAUGAAGGUCUUCGGAUCGUAAAACUCUGUUAUUAGGGAAGAACAUAUGUGUAAGUAACUGUGCACAUCUUGACGGUACCUAAUCAGAAAGCCACGGCUAACUACGUG
rnacentral:rRNA from 1 species